rfam:Callithrix jacchus chromosome 22, whole genome shotgun sequence
UCUCAUGCUGUGACCCUCCAAAGGGAAGCGCCUUUCUGUUGUCUGAAAGAACACAAGGCACUUCCCUUUAGAGCGUGAAAGACUGAGA